rnacentral:rRNA from 1 species
AACGAACGCUGGCGGCAUGCCUAACACAUGCAAGUCGAACGAGAUCUUCGGGUCUAGUGGCGCACGGGUGCGUAACGCGUGGGAAUCUGCCCUUGGGUUCGGAAUAACAGUGGGAACCGACUGUUAAAACCGGAUGUCGCCGAAAGUCCAAAGAUUUAUCGCAAGCGGAUGAGCCCGCGUAGGAUUAGCUAGUGGGUGUGGUAAAGGCGCACCAAGGCGACGAUCCUUAGCUGGUCUGAGAGGAUGAUCAGCCACACUGGGACUGAGACACGGCCCAGACUCCUACGGGAGGCAGCAGUGGGGAAUAUUGGACAAUGGGCGAAAGCCUAAUCCAGCAAUGCCGCGUGAGUGAUGAAGGCCUUAGGGUUGUAAAGCUCUUUUACCCGGGAUGAUAAUGACAGUACCGGGAGAAUAAGCUCCGGCUAACUCCGUGCCAGCCGCCGCAGUAA